AGCGAACGCUGGCGGCAGGCCUAACACAUGCAAGUCGAACGAACUCUUCGGAGUUAGUGGCGGACGGGUGAGUAACACGUGGGAACGUGCCUUUUGGUUCGGAAUAACUCAGGGAAACUUGUGCUAAUACCGAAUGUGCCCUUCGGGGGAAAGAUUUAUCGCCAUUAGAGCGGCCCGCGUCUGAUUAGCUAGUUGGUGAGGUAACGGCUCACCAAGGCGACGAUCAGUAGCUGGUCUGAGAGGAUGACCAGCCACACUGGGACUGAGACACGGCCCAGACUCCUACGGGAGGCAGCAGUGGGGAAUCUUGCGCAAUGGGCGAAAGCCUGACGCAGCCAUGCCGCGUGAAUGAUGAAGGUCUUAGGAUUGUAAAAUUCUUUCACCGGGGACGAUAAUGACGGUACCCGGAGAAGAAGCCUCGGCUAACUUCGUG
rnacentral:rRNA from 1 species